rnacentral:rRNA from 1 species
UGCGUAGGUGGCGCGGUAAGUCGGGUGUGAAAUUUCGGAGCUUAACUCCGAAACUGCAUUCGAUACUGCCGUGCUUGAGGACUGGAGAGGAGACUGGAAUUUACGGUGUAGCAGUGAAAUGCGUAGAUAUCGUAAGGAAGACCAGUGGCGAAGGCGGGUCUCUGGACAGUUCCUGACACUGAGGCACGAAGGCCAGGGAGGCAAACG